UUGAAAAUUGUUCGAUUUUUUAUUGGUC
rnacentral:sRNA from 1 species